rnacentral:rRNA from 1 species
AUUGAACGCUGGCGGCAGGCCUAACACAUGCAAGUCGAGCGGAAACGAGUUAACUGAACCUUCGGGGAACGUUAACGGCGUCGAGCGGCGGACGGGUGAGUAAUGCCUGGGAAAUUGCCCUGAUGUGGGGGAUAACCAUUGGAAACGAUGGCUAAUACCGCAUAAUAGCUUCGGCUCAAAGAGGGGGACCUUCGGGCCUCUCGCGUCAGGAUAUGCCCAGGUGGGAUUAGCUAGUUGGUGAGGUAAUGGCUCACCAAGGCGACGAUCCCUAGCUGGUCUGAGAGGAUGAUCAGCCACACUGGAACUGAGACACGGUCCAGACUCCUACGGGAGGCAGCAGUGGGGAAUAUUGCACAAUGGGCGCAAGCCUGAUGCAGCCAUGCCGCGUGUGUGAAGAAGGCCUUCGGGUUGUAAAGCACUUUCAGUCGUGAGGAAGGUGGUGUAGUUAAUAGCUGCAUCAUUUGACGUUAGCGACAGAAGAAGCACCGGCUAACUCCGUGCCAGCAGCCGCGGUAAUAAAGCCGAAUUCUGGCAGAAUUUCCUUCACACUGGCGGCCCGCUCCGAGCCAUGCAU